rnacentral:misc_RNA from 1 species
UAUCCUACUGGAAAUUUGUUAGUUGUAUUCGAGGAAUGGGGAGGAGAUCCUUAUGGAAUCACUUUAGUCAAAAGAGAAAUAGGGAGUGUUUGUGCUGAUAUAUAUGAGUGGCAACCACAGUUAUUGAAUUGGCAGAGGCUAGUAUCUGGUAAGUUUGACAGACCUCUCAGACCUAAAGCCCAUCUUAAGUGUGCACCUGGUCAGAAGAUUUCUUCAAUCAAAUUUGCAAGCUUUG